ACGGGAGGCAGCAGUGGGGGAUAUUGCACAAUGGAGGAAACUCUGAUGCAGCAACGCCGCGUGAGGGAAGAAGGUUUUCGGAUUGUAAACCUCUGUUUUUAGUGAAGAAACAAAUGACGGUAGCUAAAGAGGAAGCCACGGCUAACUACGUGCCAGCAGCCGCGGUAAUACGUAGGUGGCAAGCGUUGUCCGGAUUUACUGGGUGUAAAGGGUGCGCAGGCGGGACUGCAAGUUGGAUGUGAAAAUCCGAGGCUCAACCUCGGAACUGCAUCCAAAACUGUGGUUCUUGAGUGGAGCAGAGGUAAGCGGAAUUCCGAGUGUAGCGGUGAAAUGCGUAGAUAUUCGGAGGAACACCAGUGGCGAAGGCGGCUUACUGGGCUCUAACUGACGCUGAGGCACGAAAGUGUGGGUAGCAAACAGGAUUAGAUACCCGGUA
rnacentral:rRNA from 1 species